UGAGUUUGAUCCUGGCUCAGUAAGUCGUAACAAGGUAACCAGUCGUAGAGUUUGAUCCUGGCUCAGAACGUACGCUGGCGGCACGCCUAACACAUGCAAGUCGAACGAAGUAGCAAUACUUAGUGGCAGACGGGUGAGUAACAUGUAGGUAUCUGCCCUUUGGCCUGGAAUAACACGAGGAAACUUGUGCUAAUACCGGAUAAGUCUUUACGGAGAAAGCUUUAUGCACCAUUGGAUGAGCCUGCACUUGAUUAGUUUGUUGGUGGGGUAAUGGCCUACCAAGACUGUGAUCAAUAGCUGAUUUGAGAGGAUGAUCAGCCACAUUGGGACUGAGACACGGCCCAAACUCCUACGGGAGGCAGCAGUGGGGAAUCUUGCACAAUGGAGGAAACUCUGAUGCAGCGAUGCCGCGUGAGUGAAGAAGGCCCUUGGGUUGUAAAGCUCUUUCGUCGGGGAAGAAAAUGACUGUACCCGAAUAAGAAGGUCCGGCUAACUUCGUGCCAGCAGCCGCGGUAAUACGAAGGGACCUAGCGUAGUUCGGAAUUACUGGGCUUAAAGAGUUCGUAGGUGGUUGAAAAAGUUAGUGGUGAAAUCCCAGAGCUUAACUCUGGAACUGCCAUUAAAACUUUUCAGCUAGAGUAUGAUAGAGGAAAGCAGAAUUUCUAGUGUAGAGGUGAAAUUCGUAGAUAUUAGAAAGAAUACCAAUUGCGAAGGCAGCUUUCUGGAUCAUUACUGACACUGAGGAACGAAAGCAUGGGUAGCGAAGAGGAUUAGAUACCCUCGUAGUCCAUGCCGUAAACGAUGUGUGUUAGACGUUGGAAAUUUAUUUUCAGUGUCGCAGGGAAACCGAUAAACACACCGCCUGGGGAGUACGACCGCAAGGUUAAAACUCAAAUGAAUUGACGGGGACCCGCACAAGUAGUGGAGCAUGUGGUUUAAUUCGAAGAUACGCGCAGAACCUUACCAACACUUGACAUGUUCGUCGCGACUCUAAGAGAUUAGAGUUUUCGGUUCGGCCGGACGAAGCACAGGUGCUGCAUGGCUGUCGUCAGCUCGUGUCGUGAGAUGUUGGGUUAAGUCCCGCAACGAGCGCAACCCUCACUUUUAGUUGCCAUCAUUAAGUUGGGCACUCUGAAAGAACUGCCAGUGAUAAGCUGGAGGAAGGUGGGGAUGACGUCAAGUCCUCAUGGCCCUUACGUGUUGGGCUACACACGUGCUACAAUGGUAUCUACAACAGGAAGCAAGACUGCGAAGUUAAGCAAAUCCCUAAAAGAUACCUCAGUUCGGAUUGCACUCUGCAACUCGAGUGCAUGAAGCUGGAAUUACUAGUAAUCGUGGAUCAGCGUGCCACGGUGAAUGCGUUCCCGGGUCUUGUACACACCGCCCGUCACACCAUGGGAGUUGGUUCUACCUUAAGGCAAGGUUUCAAACCCUUGACCACGGUAUAGUCAGCGACUGGGGUGAAGUCGUAACAAGGUAACCAAUCGAAU
rnacentral:rRNA from 1 species